GGCAUUAGUCAUACAGGGUCUGAAAGUGGGUCAGAUAUAUCAAUGCUUCCCAUAGCGGAGAAAGGUCCAAAAGAAUUUGAAAGAACAAGCUUGUCUUCGCACGAGGAGAGAAGCAACUAUGGGUCAGUUCGGUCAGUACCUCAAACUUCAUCGGGUUAUGAAAGUCGAGGACCUAUACAUGUUUAUACCUCUUCAGGAGCCUCUGAUAGCUUGUCUGGAAAGAUGAAAGUUCUCUUCAGC
rnacentral:misc_RNA from 1 species